rnacentral:other from 1 species
AGCGGCCUGCCUUGUGCGAAUGGUUGCAGCCAUAUUUAUCCUACUGGUUAUUAAUUGGGAACCUGACAGUUCUUUGGCGGAUUGCAGACCUCCCGGCUUUGCCGGACGCAGGGAGCGCGAAGCCAGAGACAAGGUACCCACCUGCUUGAAAGAGUGGGUCAUAACUAGGCUGCAGACGGCAAGGCGGGUUUUAU